rnacentral:rRNA from 1 species
UAAAAAGCUAGCUCAUGUUCCGGCAGUCGCGACUGAGAGGUCGAUCGACCACAUUGGGUCUGAAAAAAGCCCACGGCAGAUUGUACAGCAGUGGGGUAUAUUGGUCAAUAGCCUAACGGCUGAACCAGCAACUUGGAAGAAUGUAUAACGAAUAAGUCGUAUAAAAUUCUAGGUAGAAGAAUGAUAGUGACAAUUUUCUAUCUAUAAGUCUUGACCAAAUUACGUGCCAGCAGUCGCGGUAACACGUAGAAGACUAGUGUUAUUCAUCUUUAUUAGGUUUAAAGGGUACCUAGACGGAAAAUCAAGCCAUAAUAGGGACUAAUUUUCUAGAGUUUUAUGAGAGAAGGGGUGAAUUUCCGGAGGAAAGUUGAUAUUUAGUGAUACUGGAAGGACGGGUAACGGCGAAGGCAACCUUGUAUGUAAAAACUGACGUUGAGGGACGAAGCCUUGGGUAACGAGAAGGAUUAGAUACCCUAGUAGUCCUUGGAGACAAUUAUGAAUGUCAUAGGCUAGAUAAUUUAGCCUAUAAAUGAAAGUGUAAGCAUUCCACCUCAUGAGUAAAGCGGCAACGCCCAAAUUGAAAUCAUUAGACCGUUUCUGAAACCAGUAGUGAAGUAUGUUAUUUAAUUCGAUGAUCCGCGAAUAACCUUAC